UGAACGAACGCUGGCGGCGUGCCUAAACACAUGCAAGUCGAGCGGUAAGGCCCCUUCGGGGGUACACGAGCGGCGAACGGGUGAGUAACACGUGAGCAAUCUGCCCUUCACUUUGGGAUAACUCUGGGAAACGAGAGCUAAUACCGAAUACGACCACUUCAGGCAUCUGAUGGUGGUGGAAAGUUCCGGCGGUGAAGGAUGAGCUCGCGGCCUAUCAGCUAGUUGGUGGAGUAACGGCCCACCAAGGCUUCGACGGGUAGCCGGCCUGAGAGGGUGACCGGCCACACUGGGACUGAGACACGGCCCAGACUCCUACGGGAGGCAGCAGUGGGGAAUAUUGGACAAUGGGCGAAAGCCUGAUCCAGCAACGCCGCGUGAGGGAUGACGGCCUUCGGGUUGUAAACCUCUUUCAGUAGGGACGAAGCGCAAGUGACGGUACCUACAGAAGAAGCACCGGCCAACUACGUG
rnacentral:rRNA from 1 species